rnacentral:rRNA from 1 species
GAUGAACGCUGGCGGCGUGCCUAAUACAUGCAAGUCGAGCGAACAGACGAGGAGCUUGCUCCUCUGACGUUAGCGGCGGACGGGUGAGUAACACGUGGAUAACCUACCUAUAAGACUGGGAUAACUUCGGGAAACCGGAGCUAAUACCGGAUAAUAUAUUGAACCGCAUGGUUCAAUAGUGAAAGACGGUUUUGCUGUCUCUUAUAGAUGGAUCCGCGCCGCAUUAGCUAGUUGGUAAGGUAACGGCUUACCAAGGCAACGAUGCGUAGCCGACCUGAGAGGGUGAUCGGCCACACUGGAACUGGGACACGGUCCAGACUCCUACGGGAGGCAGCAGUAGGGAAUCUUCCGCAAUGGGCGAAAGCCUGACGGAGCAACGCCGCGUGAGUGAUGAAGGUCUUCGGAUCGUAAAACUCUGUUAUUAGGGAAGAACAAAUGUGUAAGUAACUAUGCACGUCUUGACGGUACCUAAUCAGAAAGCCACGGCUAACUACGUG